rnacentral:rRNA from 1 species
AAAACUUUCAACAACGGAUCUCUUGGUUCUCGCAUCGAUGAAGAACGCAGCAAAUUGCGAUAAGUAAUGUGAAUUGCAGGAUUUUGUGAAUCAUCGAAUUUUUGAACGCACAUUGC